rnacentral:misc_RNA from 1 species
GGGUGUCAAUAGAGUCCUGAUCUUCAAUCAGCCACUGGAGAUACCUUUGAAGGAUUUCAACCUUUUUUGGAUCGAUGGCAGCAAUCACUUCAUCUGACAAUAGCUGCUUCACUCUUUUCUUAGAAGUCAAAACUUCAACUGCUAGAACUGGAUUAACAUCUGCAAUCCAUCCAAGAUGCUGCAAAACCAAUUCUUGAUCAGACAACUCCUCUAGAAUUUUUGAUGCCUCAAUUGCAGCAAUCUC